AACCGGGGCCGCAUUCUCUCUCACCCGUCCAUUUCUCCCCUCUCGUGCGCUAGGGUUUCACUGCCGGGAGGUGGCUCCGGCCCGCGCCUGUUGUGCGCCGCCGGCGAGGCGGCUCGGACCCCACCCGUUGCCCAUGGGAGCAUAGUGGGUGGCGGAGCUCCGCUUGGGGCCAAGCGCGGCGGGCGACGACGGUGGGAGGCGGAGCUCCGCACGGAUCAGCCCCGCACCCAGCCCGGCCUCAUGCGGCGAAGCGAGGCGGCGCGAUGGUGGACAGCGGCUUCCAUCAGUGGGCGCCAUGGCGGAAUCCUGCGCGCCGAGGGGACCAGCGAUGGCGGAGGCCUCACGAGUCAGAUCGGGGGGCAGGGUCCUGUUAAGAAUCUCAUGGUUCUAAGAAUUGCGUGGCUACCCUUCGGGUUCUAGCGGCAGGUGACUUCGUCGACGCUGUGGACUGUCUCAGCCGUGCGCACUCAAGAUCAGGUUAGGGUUCCCCCCACCACGCAACUCCUCCGAUUGAUUGUCUGAAGCGAGCAGAUGGCUUAGUUCUGUACUAAUAAGGUGCUUGCUGCUGAUUCAGAAGCCUUGGCGCAUCUUUUGGUUGAACCAUGGGCCAAGCUACUCCAUUCUGUUCAGCAGAAAAGGGGCUACUCUCAUGAUAUAGCUUCACUGAUGUCGUUUGGGAAGAGUUUGCUUCCACGUGCGGCGGCUGAUGUAUCCCCUAUUACUGAUGUCACUACAAUAAAGGACCCACGAGUCUUUGUAAGGUUUGAUAUUUUUGCUGUUUACCACAUAUUUUAACAUUUUAUUUAGCAUGUGAGAGUGGGAUGGUUAAACAAUAUAUUCCCCCCUGCAGCAAGCUGGUUAAAGUUUUACUUUUCAUGUGUACAUAUGGUUUGAAAUUUGGAUUGCUCCAUUUUAUAUAACUUAGGCAAAUUACUGUACUUAGAUAAGCAAAGUAUUAUUGUUAGUUAGGCAAUGUACUGUUAUUACUCAGGCAAAGUAUUAUUUUUCAGUUAGGCGUAUUACUGUGUUGUUUAGGUUAACAUAACUUUUCUUAGUAGGCAAUCAUGCAUUUUUUUCACACACAAAACAUCCCUUGUGUGCGAUGCAACUCAGAUUUGGGGUCACGGUUAUGAUAAUCAGUUCUUAUAAUGCAAAUGCUUAUUUAGGUAUUUCUAUUAUAUGAUGCAUGUAUUUCUUUUUUAAAAAACAACUGAAACUACUCGUAACAGGCAUCUAAAAUGCUUAACUGAUAUAAUUAAAAUGUGUACUUAACAUUAUCUAAAAUGCUUAUGAUGUGGUGCUUUUGAUAUCAUUUAAAGAAAUUUCCUUUUUGUUCAACAACUCAUCAAGUACUGAUAUUAGUAUAGGUAAUUGACCAGUACUGACAAUCUGGUACUGAUCUUAUCUAGUAUUGAUAAUUUUUCAAGUAUAACCUGUGUCCGUAUAGAGUAAAAGACGGCGAAUGAUAUUGUUUCCUAUAUUCUCUUAGUGAUGAAUUACUCAUGUCAUCUUCUUCUGUUGCUGUUGCAGCCCAUAUGAAUCUACAUGUCUUCAUCUUUAAUAUUUUGUUGUUUUGCUGCUCUUCCCUGCAGAAACACAAAGAUGCAUCGAAAAUUUUUAUGUAGGCAACUUAUACUAGAUCAACAAGCAAUUUAUCCAUUGUGGUUCAGCAUGUGGUUCCAAUUUUUUAGCAAUUUUUCAUAUUCUAGUGAGUUUUGCCAUAAAACUUUAAUUAAGUUCUGGACUACCUCAUCACAAUAUCACAUAAUUUCUGUAGGCUAUUCUUUUGUUAAAAAAUAAGGACAAGGAAUUCUAUCUCUGAAAUGUCAUUUUUUGCAUUAAAUUUGUGUGCUCAUUUUAGUCUUUGCUUCUUUUCUCGUGUAUCUUUGUGUGCCAAUCUAGCCUACAAGAUGUUGACUGUUAGAUGUCGAUUGCCCCCCUCAUGCUUCACUCUCUGAAUUUUUCAAUAGAUGUGUGCUAUCCCUGGUUAAUGCUGAUUGUUUCUCAUUUUCCUAAUUAUGCAGAAGUAAUGUUCUCAUUUAGGUGAAUUAUUACUGUCAGGCAAAAGUUUAUCUCUGUAUAGGCAAAGUAGUAUUCUUAGUUAGGUAAAAUAAAGUGUUGAAUUUCUUAGACCACAGUUACCUGAUUGUGUUUAUUAUUUUAGUAGUAAUUUUAGGCAAAGUAUUAUUUGAAGUUAGGCAAAGUAAAGUGUUGAAUUUCUUGAACUGCUUGUUACCUGAUUGUUUACUUCAUUAGGUCAUAUAGAAUUAGCAACAUUUGUUACUAGAUGUAAUCUGCCUUGGUGAUGUUUUACACUUGCUACUAACUGAUCUUACUAUUCUUUCACUAAUCAUGCUUCUGUCCCAUAAAAUAGUGUUUUAGAACCUGAUGUGCCUUUCUUUUCUGCCUGCAAGUUGUCCUGAGUGGAUAAGCACUAUAACAUGCUCUUCAGCUCCAUUUGUUUGGUGGUCUAAAAGUUCAUCAGAUCAUCAUCGGCAGCAGUGAAGUUGCAACUAAACCUCGAUUUGAUUCAUGCGCAGCUUUGUAGUUGUAGUUCCAAUCUUUUGUUUGGUGUGUACAACAAUGGAGGCAAUCAUGACUCGAAUGCUGGUAGUUUGAAACUUUGUGAAUGUUUAUAAUUUAGAUGGGUGAAAAUGUUUUACCAUAUGUUCUAAUUUUCUUACAGUUUGUCGAAGAUUUGUUUGUGAGAUCCUAAAAGUUGCUUUUUAUUGUACAUAUUGAGUUGAAUUACUAGUAAAAAAUUGUAGAAA